UGCAAGUCGAACGAGCGAGAGAGAGCUUGCUUUCUCGAGCGAGUGGCGAACGGGUGAGUAACGCGUGAGGAACCUGCCUCAAAGAGGGGGACAACAGUUGGAAACGACUGCUAAUACCGCAUAAGCCCACAGGUCGGCAUCGACCAGGGGGAAAAGGAGCAAUCCGCUUUGAGAUGGCCUCGCGUCCGAUUAGCUAGUUGGUGAGGUAAUGGCCCACCAAGGCAACGAUCGGUAGCCGGACUGAGAGGUUGAACGGCCACAUUGGGACUGAGACACGGCCCAGACUCCUACGGGAGGCAGCAGUGGGGAAUAUUGCACAAUGGGGGAAACCCUGAUGCAGCGACGCCGCGUGGAGGAAGAAGGUCUUCGGAUUGUAAACUCCUGUUGUUGAGGAAGAUAAUGACGGUACUCAACAAGGAAGUGACGGCUAACUACGUGCCAGCAGCCGCGGUAAAACGUAGGUCACAAGCGUUGUCCGGAAUUACUGGGUGUAAAGGGAGCGCAGGCGGGAAGACAAGUUGGAAGUGAAAUCUAUGGGCUCAACCCAUAAACUGCUUUCAAAACUGUUUUUCUUGAGUAGUGCAGAGGUAGGCGGAAUUCCCGGUGUAGCGGUGGAAUGCGUAGAUAUCGGGAGGAACACCAGUGGCGAAGGCGGCCU
rnacentral:rRNA from 1 species